UAUUGUAGACCUGUGGGAUAUAAUUAUAAUAUUGCUGCCAAUAAUUAUCACUACCAAAGACCCUACUUGAUUUCUCAGUAUUAGAUGAGGUCCAACAGGGAAAGUGAAUGUAUUGAACUGGGAAAUAAGAAAAUAGAAGGAAGAAGAAAAAAUAGGAUCCCAUCACAUGGCUCCCCUGGAUGUUUCCAAAACAGCAGGAAUACGACUUGGCUGCAGAUUGUGCAUCCCAACCUCAAACUGAGCGAGCUGAGAAACUGAAAAAAGAGAAGAAUGAAGAAAAAUCUGAGGAGGAUGCUCAAGGACUCACCUUCCAUCAUAUUCCCUCCAGGGGGCUGCUGGGCUGAUGCAUUUUUGGGAUGGAGCACCACAGUGGCUCUGUUGGAAAGCCCAGUCACAAUUCAGCAUCCAGAGAAAAAAGUCCUUUAGAGAACUGUGGGAAGUUUAAUGGAAAUAAUAAAUUUGGGGUUCUUCCUUAA